UACCCUUUGUCUUUCCCUCCUCCUUCCCCUCUCCACUCCCAAUGUCCAUGUCAACCCUUCAAAAAGCUCUUGGCGAGUCCCAACUCCAAAAUAAUCACAAUCUCUACCCUCCAAGCAAGGAUUGCCAGGUCCGUUGGAUCUCCCCAAACGCCUCUCUCUCUCUCUCUCUCUUUCUCUCUCUGCAUAUGAGGUUUUUAUUUUGCUGCAAGCUUAUUAUUUUCUUGUUAUUUUUCCUUGAUUGUAGGUUUUUCUAUUAUCUUUGGCGUUUCAAGAAUAUUUUAUUUAUCAUGGGCGAGUUUAAUAAAUAUCGACAAAUUUUAGGCCAAAUUGCACUGCAAUUCUUCUGAUUGCCGAAAUUUGUUGCUUUCUUGACUAAUAGUUGGGUAAAAUACUUGGAAUCAUCCAAAAUUACUUUAAUGAAGUGGAAGG
rnacentral:lncRNA from 1 species